rfam:Tetranychus urticae London genomic scaffold, scaffold_6
GCCCAGAUAGCUCAGUCGGUAGAGCGUUAGGCUUUUAACCUAACGGCCCAGGGUUCGAGCCCCUGUCUGGGCG